rnacentral:rRNA from 1 species
GUGGGGAAUUUUGGACAAUGGGGGCAACCCUGAUCCAGCCAUGCCGCGUGAGUGAAGAAGGCCUUCGGGUUGUAAAGCUCUUUCAGCCGGGAAGAAAGCGCACUCUCUAACAUAGGGUGUGGAUGACGGUACCGGAAGAAGAAGCACCGGCUAACUACGUGCCAGCAGCCGCGGUAAUACGUAGGGUGCGAGCGUUAAUCGGAAUUACUGGGCGUAAAGGGUGCGCAGGCGGUUUUGUAAGACAGAUGUGAAAUCCCCGGGCUUAACCUGGGAACUGCGUUUGUGACUGCAAGGCUAGAGUACGGCAGAGGGGGGUGGAAUUCCGCGUGUAGCAGUGAAAUGCGUAGAUAUGCGGAGGAACACCGAUGGCGAAGGCAACCCCCUGGGCCUGUACUGACGCUCAUGCACGAAAGCGUGGGGAGCAAACAGGAUUAGAAACCCCAGUAGUCC